UGGGGAAUUUUGGACAAUGGACGCAAGCCUGAUCCAGCCAUGCCGCGUGCGGGAAGAAGGCCUUCGGGUUGUAAACCGCUUUUGUCAGGGAAGAAACGAGUUUCUCUAAUACAGAGACUUAAUGACGGUACCUGAAGAAUAAGCACCGGCUAACUACGUGCCAGCAGCCGCGGUAAUACGCAGGGUGCAAGCGUUAAUCGGAAUUACUGGGCGUAAAGCGUGCGCAGGCGGUUAUACAAGACAGAUGUGAAAUCCCCGGGCUCAACCUGGGACCUGCAUUUGUGACUGUAUAGCUAGAGUACGGUAGAGGGGGAUGGAAUUCCGCGUGUAGCAGUGAAAUGCGUAGAUAUGCGGAGGAACACCGAUGGCGAAGGCAAUCCCCUGGACCUGUACUGACGUUCAUGCACGAAAGCGUGGGGAGCAAACA
rnacentral:rRNA from 1 species